UCCUCCUUGGAUUCCACGCUAGAGAAUAAACACGUCCUCUCCAGGACAGCUGCUCCUCCAGUCUCCAUGGAAGGAAAUCAAGCAGCUGGAGAGCCUGUGCAUCUCUGCAGAGUCCAGCAAUCCAGGGUCUGGCCAGAAGUUCCAGGAUAGCAACACAGAUGAUAUUGAGAACAUGAAAGUGAUAACCGUGAGACAGGAGCAGUGGAGAUCUGACCCAAGCCACCCUCGCUUCCUCCCUCGAUCCCCCUCGUGGCUUGGGUGACACGUCUGGAAAGAGCUGGCCAGAGUCAAGAGUUCAGACCGUGAUCCCAAAAUGGAGCCACAGACUUUGGAAAAUAUGGCGCAAGGUCCAUGAACUCAACUACUCUCACAAACAUCAGUGUCAUCGGCUGAGCCAAGGGAUGCCGGGAAACAGAGGUGAGCACACUGCCUUCUCCUGGGUGUGAGGGCUGCUUGUCAAGAUAUACCAUUCGUCAUGUAGGCUCUGCUGUUCCCAAGGGCUGUGGUUCAUUUUAGGAUCACUGGAAAAGUGAACGGAACACAUGGCAUCUGUGAGUUGUCUCACUGUUUGGGACUCAGUGGUCCCAUUGCAAUGCUUGGUGCGGGGAUGCUGGGAACGUGCUGUUAGGCUGGAGCUCACGCCCCCAAGUCAUGACCAUGAUGGAGAAAGGCAGAAGGGGAAGAAGAGGAAGUAAGUUUCUCAUGGACAUACGGACUUCCUGGAGCAAACUAUCCAAAGGGCAAAAUGCCAAUUUGAUUAACUAGGAAGAGUUACAUAGACCUGGGGCUGGACCCCAGUCCUUCCAUUUUCUGCUUCUUGGUCCCAGAGGAAGGGAGGAGUGAAAGAGUGAAUGUUUGGAAUAACUUGCAAGGACAUGCCUUCAGUUAGCAUUCUCUCUUUCAUUGUCUCUGUGAAAGGUAUCAACAUAAAAAUGGAGUUAUGAUGUGUUAAAUACCCUGAUGGAGCCUGGCAUGGUAUCAUGCUCCUAUAGUCCCAGCUACAUGCAAGGGUGAGGGAGGAGGACCGCUUUAGCCCAGGAGUUUGAGGCUGCAGUGAGCUGUGAUCAUGCCUGUGAAUAGCCAUUGCCUUCUAGCCUGGGCAACUGCGCGAGACCUCAUCUCUAAAUCUCUUUAAAAAAACAAAACAAAAAAAUCCACCCAACAAAUAGAGGUGGGGAAGGCCAGGAAGGGAGAGUUCUCACACAUGAAUGCCUGAUAAUAAGAACUAUCACAAAAGACUCUGCAAAACCUACAGCCACACACAAAGGCCAUCACAACCUCACACACAAAAAAAGUACUGCGAGGACAUCUGCCUUGCAACUCAAACUGGUGUCGCCCUUGUUAUGGAUCCUUGUAGCCAGGGAUAAUUAUCUCAGAGCAAUGAUGUAAUCCUCCUCACUUUUCCUUUAAAAACCUUUGUCUUGCCAGGCACGGUGGCUCAUGCCUGUAAUCCCAAUACUUUGGGAGGCUGAGGCAGGAGCAUCACUUGAGCCCGGGAGUUUGAGACCAGCCUGGGCAACAUAGAGAGACCCCAUCUCUACAAAACAUUAAAUAAAAAAUUCAGCAUGUGGUGGCCAUGUCUGUGGUCCCAGCUACUUGGGAGGCUGAAGCGGGAGGAUCAAUUGAGUCUGGGAGGCUGAGGCUGCAGUGAGCUGUGAUUGCACUACUACACUCCAGCCUGGACAACAAAGCAAGACUUGUUUCAAAACAAAACAAAAAAACCUUUGUUUUCCUUUACAUCCCUGAAUAUACACGUAGUUUACAGUGGCACUGGUAUUGCAUUGCAAUGCCUGUUCCAGAAUAAACAUCAGCCUCUUUUAGAGAGUCUUCCUCUCCUCUCUGUUUGUUAUUUAGGUUAACGUGGGUCAUUGUUCUCUAGUCCCACUAUCCCAG
rnacentral:lncRNA from 10 species